rnacentral:lncRNA from 1 species
UUUGAACCUCCGUCGAUAAAAUAAUUUUAUUAUAGCCAUAUUAUAUACACUAAAAAAUAAACGAAAACAAUAGGGAAAGGAAAAAUACAUAAAAACAAAGAAAAAAUAAAAUUGGAAAACGUAAAAUAUAGUUAAACCAAAUAUAUAAUCAAUUUCUUACAAUGAUAUCUAUCUAAAUUGAAUUUUCAAACCAUGUAAGAAGCCAAGAA